rnacentral:tRNA from 1 species
GCCGAGAUAGCUCAGUCGGUAGAGCACCCCCAUGGUAAGGGGGAGGUCCCGAGUUCGAUCCUCGGUCUCGGCUCCA